GAUGAACGCUAGCUACAGGCUUAACACAUGCAAGUCGAGGGGAAACGACAUUGAAAGCUUGCUUUUAAUGGGCGUCGACCGGCGCACGGGUGCGUAACGCGUAUCGAACCUGCCCUUUACUCAGGGAUAGCCUUGCGAAAGUAAGAUUAAUACCUGAUAGUGUUGCGAUGAGGCAUCUUGUUGCAACUAAAGAUUUAUUGGUAAAGGAUGGCGAUGCGUCUGAUUAGGUAGUAGGCGGGGUAAUGGCCCACCUAGCCUUCGAUCAGUAGGGGUUCUGAGAGGAAGGUCCCCCACAUUGGAACUGAGACACGGUCCAAACUCCUACGGGAGGCAGCAGUGAGGAAUAUUGGUCAAUGGACGAGAGCCUGAACCAGCCAAGUAGCGUGCAGGAUGACGGCCCUCUGGGUUGUAAACUGCUUUUAGUUGGGAACAUAAAAGGCGACGUGUCGCCUCUGGAGGACCAUCAGAAAAAGACC
rnacentral:rRNA from 1 species